AUUGAACGCUGGCGGCAUGCUUUACACAUGCAAGUCGAACGGUAACAGGGUGCUUGCACCGCUGACGAGUGGCGAACGGGUGAGUAAUGCGUCGGAACGUGCCGAGUAGUGGGGGAUAACGCAUCGAAAGGUGUGCUAAUACCGCAUACGUACUGAGGUAGAAAGUGGGGGACCUUCGGGCCUCACGCUAUUCGAGCGGCCGACGUCUGAUUAGCUAGUUGGUGAGGUAAAGGCUCACCAAGGCGACGAUCAGUAGCGGGUCUGAGAGGAUGAGCCGCCACACUGGGACUGGGACACGGCCCAGACUCCUACGGGAGGCAGCAGUGGGGAAUUUUGGACAAUGGGCGAAAGCCUGAUCCAGCCAUGCCGCGUGUCUGAAGAAGGCCUUCGGGUUGUAAAGGACUUUUGUCCGGGAGCAAAUGCCUGGUGUUAAUAGCACUGGGAGCUGAGAGUACCGGAAGAAUAAGCACCGGCUAACUACGUGCCAGCCGCCGCCGUAAAAC
rnacentral:rRNA from 1 species